rnacentral:lncRNA from 1 species
CCAAAGCACCAAGUCUAAACAAAGCUUACAUGCCUCCCAUUCCCUUUCCUCAAAAGCUCAAGAAGAAAAAACAAGACACAAACUAUGAAAAAUUCCUCGAUGUUCUCAAGAAGCUCCAGAUCAAUGUUCCGUUCAUAGAUGCGAUACUACAAAUUCCAUGCUAUAAGAAAUUUUUGAGAGAUAUGUUGACAAAGAAAAGAAAGCUUCCGGAGUUUGAAACCGUGGCAUUAACUGAGGAAAGUAGUGCAAGAGUCCAGAGAAAAUUGCCUCAUAAAUUGAAGGAUCCAGGGAGUUUUACUUUACCAAUUUCAAUUGAAAAUUCCUAUUCAACUAAUGCAUUGUGUGACACUGGUGCUAGUGUCAAUCUAAUGUCGUAUUCUGCUUACAGGAAAUUGGGACUAGGUAAAGUCAACUCAACAUCAAUAACGCUACAACUCGCUGAUAGAACAAUCACAAGGCCAUGUGGCAAAGUUGAGGAUGUACUCGUCAAAGUAGGAAAUUUAAUAUUUCCUGUGGAUUUCAUUGUAUUGGACAUACCAGAAGAUCGAGUCAUUCCAAUUAUAUUGGGUCGACCAUUCUUAGCAACGGGACGAACCCUUAUUGACAUGGAGAAGAGAGAACUAAUCUUGAGGGUGGAGGACAAGCAGGAGAUAUUCAAUAUUUACAUCCAAUAUGAGAAACCUCCCAAUAAAAAUGAUUGCUAUAGAAUUGAUGAAGAAGAGCCACCUGAUCAACGAAACUGUCAGAAUAAAAAAACAAAAUUUGGAGAACUUCUUGGUAGAGAUAAGAAAUGACAAAUCAAAAUUUGGAGAGCAAAAAGGGACUGCAUCAAUGAAAAUUGCACAGAGUGCAAUGAUGGAAUAACUUGGUUUGAACCACCAUGAUAAACCAG